UAAUAAAUGGUAAAAAUAUGAGAAAACCGGGAAAAACGGAAAAAUAAGUACAAUACUAAACAAAUAUUAUCAAAGAAAAUGUUUCUGUGUAUGACAUUAUUGACAAAACAACACUAUCAACCGAACUCUAUCCAGAAUCGUUUUUUUGUUGUUGUUAAUGGUUAAUGGUUGCUUACAGCUACAUUAAAUACAUUAAAUUUCUGUCUAUAUCCUACCUACCCAACUCUCCACCAACAACAGUGGCUGCAUCCGUCCCCAUUAUUCUAAGAAAACUUUUUUUUUUUCCGUGAAUAACUUUUCUACCAUGAAUUUUAUUCCGAUUUUCAAGUUAAGCUCUUUUUUUAGAAAGGUCAUCUGACUGGGGUAGUACUUUAAG